GACUCAGACUCCGAACACGGUACAGCUGAUCCUGUUAUACCAGUUCGUCAAAGAUCUCCACACCAAGCAAAUGGGGUUAUGCAUCAUCUCAAUAACAUAGCUGCAGAGUUCAACCGCCAGGUGGUUUACAUGAGAAACAACCCAGAUCGACAAAACACUCUCGCCGCCCGAGUGAGGAGAGACUUCUCACCAGCCUCUUCGCCAUCAGCAAGAUCGCCAAGAGUUCGUCGUGUCUUGUCGCAAGGUGGACGCGGACGCCGUGCGCCUCAACUACGUCCGUCUGGUUUGUCUGAGACGUCCAGAACAACGUUCGGUGAACAAUAUAAAUUACGAGGAGCUGAACGAAUAUGGUCUAGGAGUGAACCAAUUGAAUGUGGACAGCAACAACAUGACAUCCAUUCCACUGUCGUGAACAGACACCGAGGUGCGUGCUUACAUAGAGCGGGCUUUUCCGGCGUUAACGGGCCAAGAGUACGAGGUCCACCGUGCCCGAAGAGGGGGUGUGCUAGAAGCAUUGACAGACCUGAACCCAGUGGCUAUACGGACAUAUCUACUUUCGGGACGGGCGCGUCUGAACAACACGCUGUCACUUUACAUU